UGCAAGUCGACGAAGUAGCAAUACUUAGUGGCAGACGGGUGAGUAACAUGUAGGUAUCUGCCCUUUGGCCUGGAAUAACACGAGGAAACUUGUGCUAAUACCGGAUAAGUCUUUACGGAGAAAGCUUUAUGCACCAUUGGAUGAGCCUGCACUAGAUUAGUUUGUUGGUGGGGUAAUGGCCUACCAAGACUGUGAUCUAUAGCUGAUUUGAGAGGAUGAUCAGCCACAUUGGGACUGAGACACGGCCCAAACUCCUACGGGAGGCAGCAGUGGGGAAUCUUGCACAAUGGAGGAAACUCUGAUGCAGCGAUGCCGCGUGAGUGAAGAAGGCCUUUGGGUUGUAAAGCUCUUUCGUCGGGGAAGAAAAUGACUGUACCCGAAUAAGAAGGUCCGGCUAACUUCGUGCCAGCAGCCGCGGUAAUACGAAGGGACCUAGCGUAGUUCGGAUUUACUGGGCUUAAAGAGUUCGUAGGUGGUUGAAAAAGUUAGUGGUGAAAUCCCAGAGCUUAACUCUGGAACUGCCACUAAAACUUUUCAGCUAGAGUAUGAUAGAGGAAAGCAGAAUUUCUAGUGUAGAGGUGAAAUUCGUAGAUAUUAGAAAGAAUACCAAUUGCGAAGGCAGCUUUCUGGAUCAUUACUGACACUGAGGA
rnacentral:rRNA from 1 species